AUACGUAUGUCGCAAGCGUUAUCCGGAUUUAUUGGGCGUAAAGCGCGUCUAGGCGGCUUAGUAAGUCUGAUGUGAAAAUGCGGGGCUCAACCCCGUAUUGCGUUGGAAACUGCUAAACUAGAGUACUGGAGAGGUAGGCGGAACUACAAGUGUAGAGGUGAAAUUCGUAGAUAUUUGUAGGAAUGCCGAUGGGGAAGCCAGCCUACUGGACAGAUACUGACGCUAAAGCGCGAAAGCGUGGGUAGCAAACAGGAUUAGAUACCCUGGUAGUCCACGCCGUAAACGAUGAUUACUAGGUGUUGGGGGUCGAACCUCAGCGCCCAAGCUAACGCGAUAAGUAAUCCGCCUGGGGAGUACGUACGCAAGUAUGAAACUCAAAUGAAUUGGCGGGG
rnacentral:rRNA from 1 species